UCCAAUACAAAAUGCGCACAAUGGUUGC
rnacentral:sRNA from 1 species